UGGAUUAUAGCUCAGGGGCAGAGUGCUUGGCUGGCAUGCUCAAGGCUUUGGGUUCAAGUCCCAGCACUACAA
rnacentral:tRNA from 1 species